rnacentral:rRNA from 1 species
GGCGGCGUGCUUAACACAUGCAAGUCGAACGGAAAGGCCCUUUCGGGGGUACUCGAGUGGCGAACGGGUGAGUAACACGUGGGUGAUCUGCCCUGCACUUUGGGAUAAGCCUGGGAAACUGGGUCUAAUACCGAAUACACCCUGCUGGUCGCAUGGCCUGGUAGGGGAAAGCUUUUGCGGUGUGGGAUGGGCCCGCGGCCUAUCAGCUUGUUGGUGGGGUGAUGGCCUACCAAGGCGACGACGGGUAGCCGGCCUGAGAGGGUGACCGGCCACACUGGGACUGAGAUACGGCCCAGACUCCUACGGGAGGCAGCAGUGGGGAAUAUUGCACAAUGGGCGCAAGCCUGAUGCAGCGACGCCGCGUGAGGGAUGACGGCCUUCGGGUUGUAAACCUCUUUCAGCACAGACGAAGCGCAAGUGACGGUAUGUGCAGAAGAAGGACCGGCCAACUACGUGCCAGCAGCCGCGGUAAUACGUAGGGUCCGAGCGUUGUCCGGAAUUACUGGGCGUAAAGAGCUCGUAGGUGGUUUGUCGCGUUGUUCGUGAAAACUCACAGCUUAACUGUGGGCGUGCGGGCGAUACGGGCAGACUAGAGUACUGCAGGGGAGACUGGAAUUCCUGGUGUAGCGGUGGAAUGCGCAGAUAUCAGGAGGAACACCGGUGGCGAAGGCGGGUCUCUGGGCAGUAACUGACGCUGAGGAGCGAAAGCGUGGGGAGCGAACAGGAUUAGAUACCCUGGUAGUCCACGCCGUAAACGGUGGGUACUAGGUGUGGGUUUCCUUCCUUGGGAUCCGUGCCGUAGCUAACGCAUUAAGUACCCCGCCUGGGGAGUACGGCCGCAAGGCUAAAACUCAAAGGAAUUGACGGGGGCCCGCACAAGCGGCGGAGCAUGUGGAUUAAUUCGAUGCAACGCGAAGAACCUUACCUGGGUUUGACAUGCACAGGACGCCGGCAGAGAUGUCGGUUCCCUUGUGGCCUGUGUGCAGGUGGUGCAUGGCUGUCGUCAGCUCGUGUCGUGAGAUGUUGGGUUAAGUCCCGCAACGAGCGCAACCCUUGUCUCAUGUUGCCAGCACGUUAUGGUGGGGACUCGUGAGAGACUGCCGGGGUCAACUCGGAGGAAGGUGGGGAUGACGUCAAGUCAUCAUGCCCCUUAUGUCCAGGGCUUCACACAUGCUACAAUGGCCGGUACAAAGGGCUGCGAUGCCGUGAGGUGGAGCGAAUCCUUUCAAAGCCGGUCUCAGUUCGGAUCGGGGUCUGCAACUCGACCCCGUGAAGUCGGAGUCGCUAGUAAUCGCAGAUCAGCAACGCUGCGGUGAAUACGUUCCCGGGCCUUGUACACACCGCCCGUCACGUCAUGAAAGUCGGUAACACCCGAAGCCGGUGGCCUAACCCUUGUGGAGGGAGCCGUCGAAGGUGGGAUCGGCGAUUGGGACGAAGUCGUAAC